rnacentral:rRNA from 1 species
AUUGAACGCUGGCGGCAGGCCUAACACAUGCAAGUCGAGCGGAUGAAGCGAGCUUGCUCCUGGAUUCAGCGGCGGACGGGUGAGUAAUGCCUAGGAAUCUGCCUGGUAGUGGGGGAUAACGUCCGGAAACGGGCGCUAAUACCGCAUACGUCCUGUGGGAGAAAGUGGGGGAUCUUCGGACCUCACGCUAUCAGAUUAGCGUAGGUCGGAUUACCUAGUUGGUGGGGUAAAGGCGUACCAAGGCGACGAUCCGAAACUGGUAUGAGAGGAUGAUCAGUCACAGUGGAAGUGAGGCACAGUCGAGACUCCGACGAGAGGCAGCAGUGGAGAAUAUUGAGCAAUGGGGAAAAGCGUAAUCCAGCCAUGCGGCGUAUGUGAAGAAGGUGUUCGGAUGAUGAAGCACUUUAGGUUGGGAGGAAGGGCAAUAAGUUAAUACCUUGCUGUUUUGACGUUACCAACAGAAGAAGCACCGGCUAACUUCGUG